UUUUCCGCACCUGGCUCCUCACGUCACUCCUCUUUGCUUCAUUUUUUUAUUUUCUCCACUGUCUCAUGUUUCCUGCUUCUUCUAUUCUCACGCUGCCAACCCACUUUUCUUACCUCCCUUUCAUUUUUUUAUUCCUUCUUUUAUUUCAGACCUACUCCCCACUACCGUUCCCAUUUUCAUGCUUUUAUUUUCUUAUUCUUUUCCACCAGUCCAUGCGCAUUCCAUUUCUACUUAUUUUCUUUUGUUUUUCACUCAAUGCUCACCCAUUGUCUCUCCACUCCCUCUACUGGUAAAGGCAGCUUUUUAUUCAUUUUUCUUCUUCUUUGCCGUUCCUUUCUUCUUCUACAAAACAUGAAUAAUGAUGAUGUUUCAAACAUCAUCAUGACUUAUCAUUAUUAUUUUAUUUAAAAGCUGAUCUACACAGACAGUUUUGACGAAUUUAUUACAUAAAAUUUCACUUGUUCUAUUUUUAUUUUCUUUGCUAGACAAAUCCUAUAAUACGCAAAAACAAAGUAAAUAGCUCAAAAAUAUAAGGAACUAACUAAGAAAAGACGAGUGAAUUCGAAGUAAAAAUAUAUAUAAAUAUGAUCCAAUCAAAUACCCCCACACUUAACUUUUGCUAGUCCUCGAGCAAAACAAAGAAAACAUGAGAAAGAACUAACAUGAAAAACAUUAGCUUCCCCCUAUGUGACCCUCAUAGAAUUUCAUUUAAGAAAACAAAUCAUCAAGAACCAUAGCUAGCAUCAAGGAACUAAUCCAAGUUCAUCUUCCUUAUUCAAAUAUUAGCAGUAAUCUUUGAAUCAUCCUUGAAGUGUAGUGUGUGAGAUAGCCAUGCUAAUACAAUUUCAAGUUUUUAUUUUUAAAAUCAUCAUAUGCAAACUAGUGACCUUCUCACGGGAUAUACACUCAAUCACAUAUGUGUUUAGUUUUAGUGUGUUUCGCUCAAAGAAUCAAAUGUGAAAUUUCUACCAUAAGCUUGCAUAAAGAUCACUUCUCCACAGUCAUAAUUGCAAAACUUAAAUUAAGAGGACUUUUAUUGGAUGUAAUGAGGCUUAGGGAUAGGGUUAUUGAAACGAAAGAAUAGGAAAACACAAGUUCCAAGCUACAUUGCAAGCAAUUCUUUUCUUUAGAUUUAUAAGAACUCAAGCUCUCCAGCAAUUCUUCUAGCACCUCCAACCAUACUCUAAAACUGAAACUUUAAAAACUUUUUAUUUUCUUUGUAUACAAUCUUUCUUUUUCUUUUCUUCUUCUUUUUUAUUUUUUUAUUUUUUUAUUUUAAAUACAAACAUGAAAUACUCCCACACUUAUUCUUUUGCCAAACACCUUCAAAGUACUUCACAAACGUAUCUCAUAAGACAAUCUCGCAUUGCUCGCUUGGAAAGGGUAAGGAAAAAUGUUUCAGGUAUAAGGGUAGACAUAUCUGGUGAUAAGAAAUAAAAGGCUCAACAUACACGGCUCAAAUUGGCAAUCUAAUGAUAUCAUUUUUCUUUGGGAAACAUGGUUAUUUGGGCCAUGGUGGUAAACCUAAUGCCUCUAUCAUUUCCAAGUUCAUGCAAUCAAUGACAAACAUUUCGAAAGAUCGUUACGCAAGUUCUAGAGAUGUAUCUCACAUAAGUUCAUCACACAUGAAAGAAUAGGAGUGUAUGAAAAAUGCACACACUUUCAAUAGGCUCAAAAACUCACAUAGGAUGUAUAUGGUCACUAAAUUCACAUAUGAAGCUUUAAGUCAUACUUUAGUUUCACAUUAACAAGGCUAUGUGCAUUUGGUUUUUCAAAGAUGAUCAAACAUGUACAAAACUAACAAGAGAAUUAGGAAUUUCACAAAACACAUGUUAACUAAGUUCUUGAUAAUCAUGAUUCAAAUUUGAUCUAAUUAUAUCAUUGGGUCGGGAAACUAACAAAAAUCUAAUUCAAAACAAUAAGGGAAACAAGACAAUAUUUUUGGAUUUUUUUUUUAUUUUUUUUUUAUUUUUUUUUUUUUUUUUAUUUUUUUUUUUAAAUAUUUUUUUUUUUUAUGAAAACAAAAAGCAACAACAUGGAAACAAAUGAAACUCGUUCGUAGUUGAAGGUACAAAAAAUUUCAAUUUGGUCAUUUUUUAUACUCUUUACCCCCAAACUUAAACUGGACAUUGUCCCCAAUGUCAGAAAACACUAUAAUGCAAAUAAAAAUAAAAUAAAUAAUAAGAAACAAAAUAAAACAAGUGGACUGAAAACUUCCCUAAUUUGCAGUAAAAUCACGAUAAAAGACAAUGAAUAGAACUAAUAAGUGAUCAUUGGUCGUGCAUGUUGACUUUCCACAGCUUUCCUCUUGAACAGGGUGACACUUAGCUUUUCACUUGCAAGUGAUGAUUUUAUGCUAUUGUACUGCGAGGCUUUGCUCUUUGGUUAUGUUGCAGUUCCUUAUUUGUUCUCCAAGCAGAUGUGGCAGCUUCUCUAGUUCUUCAGCUCGGACUCCUUGUGCUGGGUUGAUUGUACGAGCUGCAUUCUUCUCUGCUUGUUUCUUCAGCACGGUGGGCAGGCACGAGGUAGAGGUAUUGGUCUGUUUCUUUCUUCAAUCUUUCCAAGUGCCCACCUCUUGCUUUCUUUCUCCUUGUCCCUAGCUGAAUUGUCUCCACAUGCUUCGAGGUAUCAUUUUCACUUCCCUUACUGUCCCCCAGGCAGAUGUGGUAGACGAAGAGAAAGCAUAAAAUGAUGAAGAUGAGUACUCGAGAGCAAGGCUAGGUAAGCAAUCAGGAAGGGGUUCCAGGCAGUUGGCUCCAGAUCGGAAGAUUGAUACCAAAUGCUGGCUAAUUGCUCUCUUUCUCCUUGUCGUAAAACAAAGACAAGGAAAAGGACAGGGAGAAAGCAUGAUAUGAGAUACUCUUGCUUUCAACCUUCAUGAUAUGAAAUACUUUGCUCUGGAUGGGUUGUUUGCAGGGGUAUCCUAGGGGAUGAAAAAUACAGAGUGACUCGAGAGGGUUUGUUGGAAAGCCAUUUCAGAGAGAUGAAGAAGUGCUGAGAGGGUGUGCCUUUGCUGUGGAAGGCGAAGGUAAAUACUUAUAGGUCUUUUCUUCACAACCGGAACUAUUCUCUCACUCAUUGUCGGUAGCCGGUGGAUGGAUGAAUAGUACAAAUUACGCGUUUUCUGACAAAGCUGCCCGUAAUUUCCGCAAAGCAGAUUCCUCAUUGAUAUCUGGAAUCGGCGCUUCGAGCUCUGAGCAUCGUCGAUUGUAGAGGUAGCAUGUGACACGUGCGGAUAAAUCUGGAAAAGAAGAUUUGCCCGUGGGUUGAAGCCCAGCUUUUGAGAAAGCUAGCGUGUCUUUGACUGUUGAAUUUCCCUCUUCGAUUUCUGAAUUGGUGCUUCGACAAACUGCCCGAGAUUUUCGCAAAGCAAUUUGCGUGUGACGAGUGACGACACGUCUGGACAAAUUGAUCUUUUGAAAUCCGGGGUUCGGCUCGUGGUUUCUGAGCAAGCCCAGCCUUUAAGAAAUGAAACGCCUCUUUUGAGAAAAGAAUCCGGCUUUUGAGAAAGGAAACUCCUCUUUUGAGAAAAAAAAUCAGGCGUUUGAGAACGGAGCCCCGACUCUUCGAUUUGCGAGAGGACGCCUCUUCAAUUUCUGAGGAGCGCCUCUUUGAUUUCUUCUUUUUAUAGAGGCGCUAAUUUUGUUCCACAACACACUUGAGCUCCCUCUUGUAAACACUCCCUUCUUGCACUUGUUUAAUCUUAAUCUGUCCGAGCUCUUCUUUCUCAACACCUUCAGAAAAUGUCUGGCCCUUCCGAUCGUCGUUUUGACUUGAACCGUGGUGAAGAGGCAGCCCCACUUUCACCAGACAACAUAUGGCGUCCAUCUUUCAUAUCCCCUACUGGUCCUCUUACCGUUGGGGAUUCGGUGAUGAAAAAUGACAUGACCGCUGCGGUGGUGGCCCGGAACCUUGUCACCCCCAGAGAUAACAGACUGCUCGCUAGACGAUCUGAUGAAUUGGCAGUUAAGGAGUCUCUGGCUCUUAGCGUGCAGUGUGCCGGUUCCGUGUCCAACAUGGCCCAACGCCUAUUUGCCCGAACCCGUCACGUUGAAUCGUUGGUGGAUGAAAUACAGAGUCUCAAAGAGGAGAUUAAAGGACUCAAGCAUGAAAAUAAACAAUUGCACAAGCUCGCACACAGCUAUGCCACCAGCAUGAAGAGGAAGAUUGACCAGAUGCAGGACACCGAUGGUCAAAUUUUACUUGAUCAUCGGAGGUUUGUGGGUUUGUUCCAACAACAUCUGCCUUCGUCUUCUGGAGCGGCACCGCGUAGUGAAGCUCCAACUGAUCAACCUCUGCCGCCUCCUCCUUCUGUGACCCCGCCGACUGCUGAAGCCCCGCCUACUACUGAAGCACCACCCGACCAAUGAAUACUAUUAGUUUACAUCAUUGUAAAAUAUUUGUACUUUUUUUUAUAUUUUUUUUUAUAUUUUUUUAUAUUUUUUUAUUUUUUUUUUUUAAUUUUUUUUUUUCAUUAAUUUUAAAUUUUAUUUUUUUUUUUUUUUUUAUGUAAAUUAAUGUAAAGAGACUUUGGUUAACCUUCCCCCACACUUAAACUAAAUAACACAAACUCACAGAAAUCAACCAAAUAACACAACUAACUAAACAAAACAAAAUGAAAGCAGUAAAGAUAAGGGUGGAAGAAUGCAAAGCUGAUUGGGUUAGUGAUUCCAAAGUCUCCCUUCGUUGAAUGCUUGGGUUGCCUCCCAAGAAGCGCUUGAUUUAACGUCUUUAGCCGGACGCAUCUUUCCUUUAAAUUUCCCUCGGCUCCAUUUGAACCUAAAAUCAAAGAAAGAAAAAUAAAUCAAAUAUCAAAAGUAAAAUACACAAACACCAAUAUAAACAUAAACAAAAACAAAAAUAAAAGGAUUAGCAAAGUUGCUAAUCCCCGGCAACGGCGCCAAAAUUUGAUGCGAAAAUUACUUGACACACAAAUUAAACCCUCUUUUUGACAAUUGUAGUAUGGAUGUAAGUAGGGUAUCGUUCUAGGCCGGGGAUUAGGAGGGAUUGCUAAUCUAUUCUCAAUUAAUUUAAAAUAUUAAAUAAGACUCAAGGACACAAAGCUAGGCUAAAAACUCUAAUAACUCGAAACACACUUAAAAUGACUCAAAAUAAUGAAAACAAUUAAUUUAAACACUAGGAACUGAAAUGGACGGAAAUUAAAUUAAAAGACUAACAAUAAAGAAAACUAACUAAAUAAUAUAAUUUAAUAAUGGAUGGGUGUUUGGUUUUGAUGAAAAGUAAAUUAAACUUAAUUAAAUUACAGAAUUGACAAAAACAUAAAAUUAAGGUAAAAUGAUAAAUGACGGACUAGCUAGAGGGUUCUUCUCCACACAUGUUAUACUUGCAUACAAAAUGAUUUCCAGUUGCUUUUCGAUAAGCUAUGAAUACUCAACGCCCCAAAUUAACCGUGAAUUGCACUAAUUAACCCUCAGUUUUUCCACAAGUUAUUGGGUUGGAUGAUUGCAUACGACAACCCAAAACAUUCCCUACAAGUUCCCUACAUGAGUUGCAUAAUAGAGAUACAAGCAAGAAUCAUUAAGUUCUAUGAAAAACAUAAGCAUUGACGAGACACUCGUUACUAUGAUUUGCAUGAAACUUAUGCCAAGAAUUUACUUAACGUAAUUGUGACUAGCAACCUUCACUACUUGUGAAUAUAAGUUCAUAACGAUUAGGUGAAACUCCCUUAUAUUCUAGCGUCAAAUUCAUGCAUGAAAAUUAAGCGUGCACUCUCAACCAACAUACACAAAUCAGUUUUUAUACGAACAGAUAAGUAAAUUGAAUUCACAACUUAUAAAUCACAACUGAAGGUAAUCAAUUCAUAUUACAAAUAUAUUCAUGGCUUUGAAUUAACCUCUAGCCAAAAUAAAUUUAAUUACACAUUAUUAAAACAAAAAUAAAAUAGAAGUUUGGAAAGAUUAAACCGAAAGAAGGUGAUCUGUUGCGUUCGUGCCCGUGUGAACUGCGCCUCGCUGGCGCCCUCUCCUUUCCUGCGUCUCUGCGAGCUGCCCAAAGGGCAGCCCCUUUCUCCUUCCCGCUUCUGUCUCUCUAACCUCGCUGCCAAAGCAGCUUUCUAUUAUUUUCUUUUUCUUUCCUAUGAGCUGCCAAAGGUAGCUACCCCCUCCUCCUCUCCUUAUUUUUCAAAGCCCCUCUUAUAUUUCUCACGUCUCAUGUCUGCCUUCUUCUCACCCACCUAACUCUGUCCACUUCCUCUUAUUUCUUUUCCGCACCUGGCUCCUCACGUCACUCCUCUUUGCUUCAUUUUUUUAUUUUCUCCACUGUCUCAUGUUUCCUGCUUCUUCUAUUCUCACGCUGCCAACCCACUUUUCUUACCUCCCUUUCAUUUUUUUAUUCCUUCUUUUAUUUCAGACCUACUCCCCACUACCGUCCCAUUUUCAUGCUUUAUUUUCUUAUUCUUUCCACCAGUCCAUGCGCAUUCCAUUUCUAUUUAUUUUCUUUUGUUUUUCACUCAAUGCUCACCCAUUGUCUCUCCACUCCCUC
rnacentral:lncRNA from 1 species